AUACCUUUCUCGGCCUUUUGGCUAAGAUCAAGUGUAGUAUCUGUUCUUAUCAGUUUAAUAUCUGAUAUGUGGGCCAUGUGUCCACAACGAUAUUAAAUUUAUUUUUUAUGGGGGAGGGUCCAUCACAAUGGCUUGCCGUUGGGCCCUCAGCUGUUGCUUGGGCGUUGCACUACAGCCCAGGCAGGCGCACCCCAA
rnacentral:snRNA from 2 species